UACGGAAGGCAGCAGUGGGGAAUAUUGCACAAUGGGCGCAAGCCUGAUGCAGCCAUGCCGCGUGUAUGAAGAAGGCCUUCGGGUUGUAAAGUACUUUCAGUCGUGAGGAAGGUGUUAAGGUUAAUAACCUUAGCAAUUGACGUUAGCGACAGAAGAAGCACCGGCUAACUCCGUGCCAGCAGCCGCGGUAAUACGGAGGGUGCGAGCGUUAAUCGGAAUUACUGGGCUAAAGGGCACGCAGGCGGUUAAUUAAGUUGGAUGUGAAAUCCCCGGGCUUAACCUGGGAAUGGCAUUCAAGACUGGUUAGCUAGAGUCUUGUAGAGGGGGUAGAAUUCCAUGUGUAGCGGUGAAAUGCGUAGAGAUGUGGAGGAAUACCGGUGGCGAAGGCGGCCCCUGGACAAAGACUGACGCUCAUGUGCGAAAGCGUGGGGAGCGAAAACAGGAUUAGAUACC
rnacentral:rRNA from 1 species